UACGGAAGGCAGCAGUGGGGAAUAUUGCACAAUGGGCGCAAGCCUGAUGCAGCCAUGCCGCGUGUAUGAAGAAGGCCUUCGGGUUGUAAAGUACUUUCAGUCGUGAGGAAGGUGUUAAGGUUAAUAACCUUAGCAAUUGACGUUAGCGACAGAAGAAGCACCGGCUAACUCCGUGCCAGCAGCCGCGGUAAUACGGAGGGUGCGAGCGUUAAUCGGAAUUACUGGGCGUAAAGGGCACGCAGGCGGUUAAUUAAGUUGGAUGUGAAAUCCCCGGGCUUAACCUGGGAAUGGCAUUCAAGACUGGUUAGCUAGAGUCUUGUAGAGGGGGUAGAAUUCCAUGUGUAGCGGUGAAAUGCGUAGAGAUGUGGAGGAAGUACCGGUGGCGAAGGCGGCCCCGUGGACAAAGACUGACGCUCAUGUGCGAAGCGUGGGGAGCAAACGAGGAUUAGAUACC
rnacentral:rRNA from 1 species